rnacentral:lncRNA from 1 species
AAGUUGUCGGAAUCGAACAAAAAAUGGAUGGGUAGGGUCGGAAUUAUAUUCCGACUAAACUGCCCUUCUGGAGCGAUCGGAAAAAGUGGCCGGAAAGGCUCUCACGCGCCGGCGCGUGGGCGUCACGCGCCGAGGGUCCUGCCGCGCGUGGGGGCGCGUGAAGCGUCGGUUUCCGGGGAUUUUUUCUGGGGUUGGUCGGAAUUCUCUCCCAAACCUCGUGGUGGUCUCGGAUUUUGCACAACACCAACAGAAAAGGUAGUUUAGGUUACGGACNNNNN